CGAAGAUCUGGAUUCGAUUCCCCAUGGGCAAUAAUGUGUUUCUUUCACCAUUUCUGGUCGCCGUGAUAUUGCUGGAAUAUUGCUAAAGCGGCGAAAACUAAACUCAGUCAGUCAAUCUUAUGGCUAUAAUGCUAAUGUUGUAUAUCAAAACUAAAUCCAUUAUCUGAUUCCAAUUUGAGUUUGUUGCAUUUCUGACUAAAACUUCAGUUUUGCCUUUUGAUAAAUUGUACCUAGGUUUACACUUAUCAUGAAUCUGAAAAGUUCAUGUACUACAAAUUCAUGUAUUCUAAAUUAUAUUUGUAUGUUGAAUAGACAUGUGAAGACUGAGAACUAAUAAAGGUGAUGUGAACU